UAACACGUAGGUCAUCUCCCCUCGAGUGGUGGAUAACCCUCCGAAAGGAGAGCUAAUACAGCAUGACACCGUAACCUCGCUGAGGUUGCGGCCAAAGCAGGCCUCUACAUGUAAGCCUGCGCUUGAGGAUGAGCCUGCGGCCCAUCAGCCAGUUGGUAGGGUAAUGGCCUACCAAGACUAAGACGGGUAGCUGGUCUGAGAGGAUGAGCAGCCACACUGGAACUGAGACACGGUCCAGACUCCUACGGGAGGCAGCAGUAGGGAAUCUUGCGCAAUGGACGAAAGUCUGACGCAGCGACGCCACGUGAGCGAUGAAGGCCUUCGGGUUGUAAAGCUCUGUGGGGAGGGAAGAAUAAGGGUUGGCUAAUAUCCAACUCGAUGACGGUACCUCCUUAGCAAGCACCGACUAACUCUGUGCCAACAACCGCGGUAAGACAGAGGGUGCGAACGUUGUUCGGAAUUACUGGGCGUAAAGAGCGUGUAGGCGGCGACGCAAGUCGGGCGUGAAAUCCCACGGCUCAACCGUGGAAGUGCACUCGAAACUGCGUAGCUAGAGUCCUGGAGAGGAAGGUGGAAUGCUUGGUGUAGAGGUGAAAUUCGUAGAUAUCAAGCGGAACACCGGUGGCGAAAGCGGCCUUCUGGACAGUGACUGACGCUUAAGCGCGAAAGCGUGGGGAGCAAACAGGAUUAGAUACCCUGGUAGUCCACGCUGUAAACGAUGAGUGCU
rnacentral:rRNA from 1 species